UGGGGAAUAUUGGACAAUGGACCAAAAGUCUGAUCCAGCAAUUCUGUGUGCACGAUGACGUUUUUCGGAAUGUAAAGUGCUUUCAGUUGGGAAGAAAAAAAUGACGGUACCAACAGAAGAAGUGACGGCUAAAUACGUGCCAGCAGCCGCGGUAAUACGUAUGUCACAAGCGUUAUCCGGAUUUAUUGGGCGUAAAGCGCGUCUAGGUGGUUAUGUAAGUCUGAUGUGAAAAUGCAGGGCUCAACUCUGUAUUGCGUUGGAAACUGCAUGACUAGAGUACUGGAGAGGUAAGCGGAACUACAAGUGUAGAGGUGAAAUUCGUAGAUAUUUGUAGGAAUGCCGAUGGGGAAGCCAGCUUACUGGACAGAUACUGACGCUAAAGCGCGAAAGCGUGGGUAGCAGACAGGAUUAGAUACCCUGGUAGUCCACGCCGUAAACGAUGAUUACUAGGUGUUGGGGGUCGAACCUCAGCGCCCAAGCUAACGCGAUAAGUAAUCCGCCUGGGGAGUACGUACGCAAGUAUG
rnacentral:rRNA from 1 species